rfam:Salmo salar isolate Sally breed double haploid chromosome ssa15, whole genome shotgun sequence.
UAGCUCAGUUGGUAGAGCAUGGUGUUUGCAACGCCAGGGUUGUGGGUUCGUUUCCCAC